CCUACGGGUGGCUGCAGUGAGGAAUCUUGGUCAAUGGCCGGGAGGCUGAACCAGCCAAGUCGCGUGAGGGAAGACGGCCCUACGGGUUGUAAACCUCUUUUGUCAGGGAGCAAGGUGCAGGUCGGGACCUGCUGUGAGAGGACCUGAAGAAAAAGCAUCGGAUAACUCCGGGCCAGCAGCCGCGGUAAUACGGAGGAUGCGAGCGUGAUCCGGAUUUAGUGGGUUUAACGGGUGCGCAGGCGGAGGCACAAGUCAGCGGGAAAAUCGCGGGGCUCAACCCCGCUCCGCCGUUGAAACUGUGUGCCUUGAGUGCGCGAAGGGUAGGCGGAAUGCGUGGUGUAGCGGUGAAAUGCAUAGAUAUCACGCAGAACUCCGAUGGCGAAGGCAGCCUACCGGCGCGCAACUGACGCUCAUGCACGAAAGCGUGGGUAUCGAACAGGAUUAGAUACCCGAGUAGUC
rnacentral:rRNA from 1 species